UACGAAGGGGGCUAGCGUUGCUCGGAAUCACUGGGCGUAAAGCGCACGUAGGCGGAUUGCUAAGUCAGGGGUGAAAUCCUGGAGCUCAACUCCAGAACUGCCUUUGAUACUGGCGACCUUGAGUCCGGGAGAGGUGAGUGGAACUGCGAGUGUAGAGGUGAAAUUCGUAGAUAUUCGCAAGAACACCAGUGGCGAGGGCGGCUCACGGGCCCGGUACUGACGCUGAGGUGCGAAAGCGUGGGAGCAAACAGG
rnacentral:rRNA from 1 species